rnacentral:rRNA from 1 species
AUUGAACGCUGGCGGCAGGCCUACCACAUGCAAGUCGAACGAGCGGCGGACGGGUGAGUAGUGUCUGGGAAACUGCCUGAUGGAGGGGGAUAACUACUGGAAACGGUAGCUAAUACCGCAUACCAUCAGAUGUGCCCAGAGGGGAUUAGCUAGUAGGUGGGGUAAGGGCUCACCUAGGCGACGAUCCCUAGCUGGUCUGAGAGGAUGACCAGCCCCACUGGAACGGAGACACGGUCCAGACUGCUACGGGAGGCAGCAGUGGGGAAUAUUGCACAAUGGGCGCAAGCCGGAUGCAGCCAUGCGGCGUGUGUGAAGAAGGCCUUCGGGUUGUAAAGCACUUUCAGCGAGGAGGCGUUACUCGCAGAAGAAGCACCGGCUAACUCCGUGCCAGCAGCCGCGGUAAUAC